GCGCCCAUAGCUCAGAUGGAUAGAGUACAACCCUCCGAAGGUUGGGGUCAGGCGUUCGAGUCGCCUUGGGCGCGCCA
rnacentral:tRNA from 1 species